CUCAUACACAGCAGAAGCCUGACAUUACAACUCCUGAUUUCAGCGGCGUCAGAGUGUCUGAUAUCUUCCACCGACUGGGGCCGCUGUCUGUGUUCGCCGCUCGAAAUCGCUGGGUGCGGCGGCAUGUGUGUUUGGUUCGAGGAGAGGCGGGGCUCGGGCUCACGCUUCGAGGUGAUUCGCCGGUUCUGGUUGCUGGGGUGUUGCCAGGGGGAUGUGCUGCGGAGGCGGGACUCCGUGAGGGCGAUUAUAUCGUGGCUGUGAACGGCGCAGACUGCAGGUGGGCCGAACACGCUGAGGUCGUUCACGCGCUGAAGAGCUGCACAGAGAGAGGACUAGAGCUGGACGUCAUCACUCUACAGUCACA